rnacentral:rRNA from 1 species
UACGGAGGGCGCAAGCGUUGUUCGGAAUUACUGGGCGUAGAGCGCGUGUAGGCGGCCAGGUAAGUCGGAUGUGAAAGCCCGGGGCCCAACCCCGGAACUGCACCCGAUACUGCCUGGCUGGAGUCCCGGAGACGAUGGCGGAAUGUCAGGUGUAGAGGUGAAAUUCGUAGAUAUCGGAAGGAACACCAGUGGCGAAGGCGGCCAUCUGGACGGGGACUGACGCUGAGACGAGAAAGCGUGGGGAGCAAACAGG